rnacentral:rRNA from 1 species
GACGAACGCUGGCGGCGCGCUUAACACAUGCAAGUCGAACGGAAAGGCCUGCUUUCCCUUGUGGAUUGCGGGUACUCGAGUGGCGAACGGGUGAGUAACACGUGAGUGAUCUGCCCCCAACUUGGGUAUAAGCCUGGGAAACUGGGUCUAAUUCCCGAUAGGACUGCAGGGUGGUGCCUGUGGUGGAAAACGAUCUUCUAGUGGUUGGGGAUGAGCUGGCGGCCUAUCAGCUUGUUGGUGGGGUAAUGGCCUACCAAGGCGGCGACGGGUAGCCGGCCGGAGAGGGUGGACGGCGACAUUGGGACUGAGAUACGGCCCAGACUCCUACGGGAAGCAGCAGUGGGGAAUAUAGCACAAUGGGCGGAAGCCUGAAGCAGCGACGCCGCGUGGGGGAUGACGGCCUUCGGGUUGUAAACUCCUUUCGACCGCGAGGAAGCCACCUGGUUGGAAGGGUGGUGACGGUAGUGGUAGAAGAAGCACCGGCUAACUACGUG